CUUGUUGGACACAAAGUAUUUCUGACCCACCUUCCUCACAAAGUCAAAGGUUAAAGCUGGAAAAUCAUGAAGAAAAUUUAAGGUUUCAGGAAACAGUCAUCACCUCGUUCACACACAGAGGCGGGUCCAGGUGGUCCAGAUCGUCCAAUCACUCCACGUACUGCAUGUACUCCAGGUUGUCCAGGUUGUCCAGGUGGACCAGGUUCACCAGGGGCCCCUCAAAAAACUUUCCGUUUUUGAGCUGCUACCUCGGAUAGCAUAUCCAGGUGGUCUUUGUGUUCCUGGUGGUCCUGGUGGUCCUGGUG